rnacentral:rRNA from 1 species
GACGAACGCUGGCGGCGUGCUUAACACAUGCAAGUCGAACGGAAAGGCCCUGCUUUUGUGGGGUGCUCGAGUGGCGAACGGGUGAGUAACACGUGAGUAACCUGCCCUUGACUUUGGGAUAACUUCAGGAAACUUGGGCUAAUACCGGAUAUUAGCUCCUGCUGCAUGGUGGGGGUUGGAAAGUUUCGGCGGUUGGGGAUGGACUCGCGGCUUAUCAGCUUGUUGGUGGGGUAGUGGCUUACCAAGGCGUUGACGGGUAGCCGGCCUGAGAGGGUGACCGGCCACAUUGGGAAUGAGAUACGGCCCAGAAUCCUACGGGAGGCAGCAGCGGGGAAUAUUGCACAAUGGGAGGAAGCCUGAUGCAGCAACGCCGCGUGCGGGAUGACGGCCUUCGGGUUGUAAACCGCUUUCGCCUGUGACGAAGCGUGAGUGACGGUAAUGGGUAAAGAAGCACCGGCUAACUACGUG